rnacentral:rRNA from 1 species
UCGAGAAUCUUCCGCAAUGGACGCAAGUCUGACGGAGCGACGCCGCGUGCGGGAUGAAGGCCUUCGGGUUGUAAACCGCUGUCAGUUGGGAGGAAAUGCAUAAGGGUUCUCUCUUAUGUUUGACCGAUCUUCAGAGGAAGUACGGGCUAAGUUCGUGCCAGCAGCCGCGGUAACACGAACCGUACGAACAUUAUUCGGAAUCACUGGGCUUAAAGGGUUCGUAGGCGGCUAUGUAGGUGGGGUGUGAAAUCCCUCGGCUCAACCGAGGAACUGCGCUCCAAACCCCAUAGCUCGAGGGAGACAGAGGUAAGCGGAACUGAUGGUGGAGCGGUGAAAUGCGUUGAUAUCAUCAGGAACACCAGUGGCGAAGGCGGCUUACUGGGUCUCUUCUGACGCUGAGGAACGAAAGCUAGGGGAGCGAACGGGAUUAGAUACCCCUGUAGUCC